UGGGGAAUAUUGCACAAUGGGGGAAACCCUGAUGCAGCGACGCCGCGUGAACGAAGAAGGUAUUCGUAUCGUAAAGUUCUGUCCUAUGGGAAGAUAAUGACAGUACCAUAGAAGAAAGCUCCGGCUAAAUACGUGCCAGCAGCCGCGGUAAUACGUAUGGAGCGAGCGUUGUCCGGAAUUAUUGGGCGUAAAGGGUACGCAGGCGGUUUAAUAAGUCGAAUGUUAAAGAUCGGGGCUCAACCCCGUAAAGCAUUGGAAACUGAUAAACUUGAGUAGUGGAGAGAAAAGUGGAAUUCCUAGUGUAGUGGUGAAAUACGUAGAUAUUAGGAGGAAUACCAGUAGCGAAGGCGACUUUCUGGACACAAACUGACGCUGAGGUACGAAAGCGUGGGGAGCAAACAGG
rnacentral:rRNA from 1 species